rnacentral:rRNA from 1 species
ACUCAAAGGAAUUGACGGGGACCCGCACAAGCGGUGGAGUAUGUGGUUUAAUUCGUCGCAACGCGAAGAACCUUACCAGGCCUUGACAUGCCCUCUAUGGACUACAGAGACGUAGUUCUUCACUUCGGGUGGGAGGGACACAGGUGCUGCAUGGCUGUUGUCAGCUCGUGUCGUGAGAUGUUGGGUUAAGUCCCGCAACGAGCGCAACCCCUCUCGUCAGUUGCCAUCAGGUAAUGCUGGGAACUCUGACGAUACUGCCGGUGAUAAGCCGGAGGAAGGCGGGGAUGACUUCAAGUCCUCAUGGCCCUUACGGCCUGGGCUACACACGUACUACAAUGGUGGUGACAGUGGGCAGCGAGCUAGUAAUAGCAAGCAAAUCCCUAAAAGCCACCUCAGUUCAGAUUGUGCUCUGCAACUCGAGCACAUGAAGUUGGAAUCGCUAGUAAUCGUGGAUCAGAACGCCACGGUGAAUACGUUCCCGGGUCUUGUACACACCGCCCGU